GUUCUCUGCUCCUGCCCUUCGCGCAGGGCGACUGAGUGUGAAACAAAGUAAUCUUCAGCUUUACUGGAAGUCAUGGGGAGAUGGUCGGACACACCAGAUGCCCCCCUUGCAAAGCGGGUGACAGCCAAAUAGCCAGCCAGAAAUUGACAGGAAGAAGAAUUGAGCUACAGGCUUACUUUCCCUCAAAAGUCUCAGAAGUGGGAAUUUGAAAAGGGAGAUUCCAAAGUCCAGAAAUGUGUCAUGUUUGGCUUGACAGGCCCCACGACCAACGUUGAGCAGAUCAGGCAAUGCAGUGGUUUCCCCGUCAUGCUGAAUGAACCUGAACGGUGUGCCGCAUCACUCAACACUGUGGUACACACACGACACCACACUAAUAUGAAGUAUUGUCUUAAAUAAUUUUUUUAGGUUUUCUUUUUUUUGUGCAUAGGUUAAAGAUACAGUCCUAUUGAAGGGGGGUAACAAUUAAUAUCUACAAUUUGUCAAAGUUCAUAAAUUGCUUGAAGUAUUCUGUUGGACUGUCUAUACGCACAACUCCCUCUCUCAGGGAGGGCAGGGUCGACCUACAGGGAGUGCAUGAGAAUUGAAAGAACUUUGUGAAACAAUGAUUAUCACGUGUUAAAGCCAGACUUUCUGGCUUUAUUUACACACAUUAACCCUCAAAAUCCAAGUGAAAAUCCAAUCCUAAAAAAACACAGUAUUAUCCUGCACAAUGAAAUUCUUGCGACAUGACACCCAACAACUACGUAGUGAGAGUUAAGAAGAAGAGUAUAUAAGCAAAACUAUAGCUAGGCAGAAAAUAAUAAUAAAAUAAAGCAACAAUAUACAUAGAUGUACAAUAUACAUAGAUGUACACUAGCAGCAGUUUAAAAAAAGAGUACUGUAAAGUAGCUGCAAUCUGGGUGGUAUUAUUGAUCAUUUAGAUAUGGCAAGGAUGGCAGUAAUAUACAUAACAGUGUGAAGUAGCAGCAAUUGGUAGCGUUAUUGAAUAUUAUAGAUACAUAUGAGUGCAAUAUGCUUAUGAAUGGUGGCAAAGCACACUACAACUAUGUAGUGAGAAUGAAGAAGAAAUAGGUGCACACAGCAAACAUAUAGCAAGAGGAUUACAAAAUAAUAUGCAUACUGUGACACUGUACAUAGCAGCAGUUUAUAAAGAGUACUGUAAACUAGCAGCAAUAUUAGUAAUAGUAUUGAAUAUUGUAGAUAGG
ensembl:lncRNA